rnacentral:lncRNA from 1 species
AUGUUCUUCACAUACUGCUUAUCUUUAUUUAAUCAUUUCACCAUAUCUCAAAUAAGAAAUGCAUUUGAACCAAUGAAAUUUCAACUCUUAUGCUAUACAAGACUAAAGGAGUUAUUUUGGCCUAUAGCUGAAAAGGAUGGCAUCAUAAUAGAAAUGAGAGUUGGAUGGAUUAUCAGAUACGGAGAAAAAGUCAUCAUAUUAGAUAAUAAGUGGGAAUCCCAGAUGUCUGUCAAUCAGAUCCAUACCUCCAAGACAAGGAAAAUAAAGAUCAAAAUGCACAGAGGUAAGGAUAACUGACGGUCAUAUAAUUUAGUCCAGAUGUAAAUGCUCCAGUGUUUUAGUGAACCAAGGGAUGAGUUGAGCUUUAGAAGGAAUUCAGCAGAAAAGAUGGAGAGGUUAAAGUAAUCAGUAAUUGAAGAGGAAGUUAGAUUAGGAGGAAAUCAGAAGAAAGACUUUUCUACGUAAUUUCACACUGUAGGAAGAAGACCAAGUUUGCUUUGUGACUGAAAGGUGUUGGGUAUAGACCCAAAAUAUGAACGGGAAGAAUGAGAUAUGGUCUCAAGAGAGUAAGGAUCAAAUGUGCUGUUCAGUGCAGAACACAUGUGAAAGAUUUGAAAGGACCUUGGGUGGCAAGCAAAAUCAUCUGACUAUUGUCUCCUAGAACUAGAAACUACAAGACCCCUUCAUUUUUCAAUAUAUGAGAAACUACUGGAUACUAUGUAAAAUUAGAUAUUUUACUACCAGGCAAAAAUAAUCAUCUCAUUUCAGAAGGAAUUUUAAGUGGUUUAUACAUUCCAAAAGCAAUCACUUUUAAGUACUUAUAACAUUUGCAAGAAAGCUUAAUGUUUCAUUUUGCCCAACAGCUAGAUGCUCCAUUUUUUAAAAAAGCUAAACAAAUUCAAGCUGAUUUAACCAACACACACUACAGGGGAGCAGAGAGACCUUCACAAGCAAGAAUUAAAAAGCUUGGUAUAAAAGAAAAACUCAAUGAAUUUAUCAUGAGGAAAACUGUUAUACAUAGAUCUGCCAAAGUCAACUUUUCAUCUACUAUAAAAGUUUGUGUUCUUUCCUGUUGAUGGUAAAUAUGAAUUGACCUAUAAUACUUUUAUUUACCAGAACAAUACUGAUUUUCAUUAUUGAAAUAUUCAAAUGGUGACUGGGUUGUCAAGUUCAUCAAAGAAAUUAUAUAUUGACUGUGACACAGCUUUAUUGGUAAGUGAUUUCUUGCAUGUUUAUCCUUUUGAAAUUAUGAAUAACAUAGUUUUAAAUUGUAAGAUAUUUUAGACUAAAUAUAUAUAUAUGCCAGGAUUUAUGGUAGGCUUUGGAGAUAAUAAAAUCUUAAAUAGUAUUCCA